UGAUGUGCUGUAUUUGUCGAGAGUUCCUCAACAGAUGAUGAAGAGGAAGGAGCAAUGAUGUGAAGGCCCAGAUCCAUCAGAGUAUCAAUGCUCUUCCUCUCUCCCCCCCUCUCACUGCAGACAUGAAACACUGGCUGACUAACAUCCUGAUUCUGACUCUCUGGCUAGAGUGUAAAGGAGAAGACAGAGUGAUCCAGCCACCAGGAGAUGUCAUUACUACUGAAGGAGAGACACUUACUCUUGGCUGUACAUUUGAGACCAGUGUUAGCUCUAAUGCAUAUUUGUUCUGGUAUAAACAAGAAGUCAAUGACUUCCCAAUAUUUAUAUUGAGACAUGAUACCUUUGGAACAGAAGAUAAUGCUCCAGAGUUCCAGAAAGACAGAUUUGAUGCUACAAUCAACAAGACAUCAGUUCCUCUGGAGAUCCAGAAGCUUCAGCUGUCAGACUCUGCUGUGUACUACUGUGCUCUGAGGCCCACAGUGACAGGAAACACCAAAACUCUGUACAAAAACCUUUGGAGUAUGUUAGAUUAUGAAGGAUGA